rfam:Mesocricetus auratus contig019680, whole genome shotgun sequence.
GGAGUGGUGGCUUAGUGAUUAAGAGCACUGACUGCUCUUCCAGAGGUCCUGAGUUCAAUUCCCAGCAACUACA